ACGGAAGGCAGCAGUGAGGAAUAUUGGUCAAUGGGCGGAAGCCUGAACCAGCCAAGUCGCGUGAAGGAUGAAGGUAUUAUGUAUUGUAAACCUCUUUAGCCAGGGGGCAAUAAGGCGUACGCGUACGCCGAUGAGAGUACCUGGAGAAUAAGGAUCGGCUAACUCCGUGCCAGCAGCCGCGGUAAUACGGAGGAUCCGAGCGUUAUCCGGAUUUAUUGGGUUUAAAGGGUGCGCAGGCGGCUUUUUAAGUCAGUGGUUAAAUCGUGACGCUCAACGUCAUCACGCCAUUGAUACUGGAGAGCUUGAUUGCGGUCGAGGUUUGCGGAAUUCGUCGUGUAGCGGUGAAAUGCAUAGAUAUGACGAAGAACACCGAUUGCGUAGGCAGCAGACCAGGCCGUAAAUGACGCUCAUGCACGAAAGUGCGGGGAUCGAACAGGAUUAGAUACCCUGGUA
rnacentral:rRNA from 1 species